rnacentral:rRNA from 1 species
CCGUCUUGAAACACGGACCAAGGAGUCUAACAUGUGCGCGAGUCAUUGGGUCRCACUAAACCYAAAGGCGCAAUGAAAGUAAAGGCAGCCUCGGGUUUGCCUAGGUAGGAUCYUUUUUUCUCUUUUGAGAGGAGGCGCACUACCGGCCCGUCUCGUCCGCGUUGCGGUGAGGCGGAGCGAGAGCGYACACGUUGGGACCCGAAAG